rnacentral:rRNA from 1 species
AGAAUGAACGCUAGCGAUAUGCUUAACACAUGCAAGUUGAACGUUGUUUUCGAAUCAGAAUGAGAACAAAGUAGCGAACGGGUGCGUAACACGUGGGAAUCUGCCGAACAGUUUGGGCCAAAUCCCGAAUGAAUAAAAGCUAAAAAGCGCUGUUUGAUGAGCCCACGUAGUAUUAGGUAGUUGGUUAGGUAAAGCUGACCAAGCCUACGAUGCUUAGCUGGUCUUUUCGGAUGAUCAGCCACACUGGGACUGAGACACGGCCCAGACUCCUACGGGAGGCAGCAGUGGGGAAUCUUGGACAAUGGGCGAAAGCCUGAUCCGGCAAUAUGGCGUGAGUGAAGAAGGGCAACGCAGCUUGUAAGCUCUUUCAUCGAGUGUGCGAUUGUGACAAGACUCGAAUAAGAACGCCCCGGCUAACUCCGCGUCAGCAGCCGC